UACGUAGGGGGCAAGCGUUGUCCGGAAUCAUUGGGCGUAAAGAGCGCGUAGGCGGUCCGGUAAGUCGGUUGUGAAAACUGGGGGGCUCAACCCUCAGAGGCCGAUCGAUACUGUCGGGCUAGAGUCCGGAAGAGGCGAGUGGAAUUCCUGGUGUAGCGGUGAAAUGCGCAGAUAUCAGGAGGAACACCAAUGGCGAAGGCAGCUCGCUGGGACGGUACUGACGCUGAGGUGCGAAAGCGUGGGGAGCAAACAGG
rnacentral:rRNA from 1 species